rnacentral:rRNA from 1 species
AUACGUAGGGGGCAAGCGUUAUCCGGAUUUACUGGGUGUAAAGGGUGCGUAGGUGGUAUGGCAAGUCAGAAGUGAAAACCCGGGGCUCAACCCCGUGGAUUGCUUUUGAAACUGUCAAACUGGAGUACAGGAGAGGUAAGCGGAAUUCCUAGUGUAGCGGUGAGAUGCGUAGAUAUUAGGAGGAACACCAGUGGCGAAGGCGGCUUACUGGACUGUAACUGACACUGAGGCACGAAAGCGUGGGGAGC